GAGGAUUGGCUGAGUGGUUUAAAGCGGCGGUCUUGAAAACCGUUGACGUUAACAGCGUCCGCAGGUUCGAAUCCUGUGUC
rnacentral:tRNA from 1 species